AGAAGUGAAUGGCAGAGUUGAGGCAGGCUUUAGAGCAUUCAGAAGACUCAAUAGGGUAUUGAUUAUAUUCUUUUGGUUGUGGAUCGAAUUGGCAAGGAGCAUUGCAAAGUUAAUUAACUUGAUUAUUAAUAGCAAGAG